rnacentral:rRNA from 1 species
UACGAAGGGGGCUAGCGUUGUUCGGAAUUACUGGGCGUAAAGCGCACGUAGGCGGACUAUUAAGUCAGGGGUGAAAUCCCAGGGCUCAACCCCGGAACUGCCUUUGAUACUGGUAGUCUCGAGUCCGGAAGAGGUGAGUGGAAUUCCGAGUGUAGAGGUGAAAUUCGUAGAUAUUCGGAGGAACACCAGUGGCGAAGGCGGCUCACUGGUCCGGUACUGACGCUGAGGUGCGAAAGCGUGGGGAGCAAACAGG